GGCGCAUGGAGGCUUGCCGAAGGAGGCUUGCAUGGAAAGCUGCCAAAGCCAGGCAAUGUAUGGCUGGGUUGGAUUCCCUACAUCGAGGCCCUGAAAGGUGUGGUGGUGUCCGCCUGUGAUUCUGAACUUGGGAGAAUAUGAUAAAGAGAGUUACUACAGGUUUGAGGCCAGCAACGGUAACAGACCCGAUCCUCCUGCCUAGGAAUGGUGCUGCCCACAGUGGGCUUAAUCCUCCCACAUUAAUCAUCAGUCAAGACAAUCUCUUGUGGACAAUUCCUCAGUAGUUCAGAUUUCCUCUUCCCAGCAAAUAAUUGCUCAGAAAGAUAAACAGUUGACGGAGAUUCCUCUGGCCCAAGAAUUCUACCAUGUUGCCCAGAAAAGGGAGGCCUGGAGACUAUAUCAGGGGCUCACUCACCUGCCAGGAGUUUUGAGCUACUGCAAGAGCUGUGCCAGGAAUGCAUAAACUAAAGGCCCCAUGAGCGACAUAAGCCUGUCACACACUGCCAUUCUUCAGAAUGUAUAUAGAAGAACCAUAUUCAGGUCAAGAUGACAGAAUUGCUCCAGGGGACCAAAGUUUUAGUGCCAACUGUAGGAUUGAAUCUAGAAGCAGGAGAAAAUGAGGAGAAAUGUGAACGUUUGAAUAAUGUCCUGAAUUCACUCACCUUCAGAAUGAGAAAUACCAAAGCUAGGAGCAACAACUCACCCAUGAUUGCUCAACCAGUGAAUGCUAAAUUCAAACCCAGUCAGCCAGUCAGCUGGUUUAGAGAGUGAAGACACUUGACUGACAUUCCCCGGGAAGAUGCUCUCAACAGUUGUACUGGUGAGGCUCUGUUCAUGCUCACUUGGACUCAAGUUCAGAGGACAGAGUCUGCACCGGAGGGAGCAAGAGUUCCCAGAAGACCUUGUAUCAGGGUUUAUAUGACCAGUUUUGCAUUUGCUGGGCAAGAGCUGACUAGUCACAUGCUCCCACCCACACAGAAGGAAGUCCAACCUCACUUUGCCCAGAAUGGGACACUUUGUGCUUUGGGAAUGUUUGGGGAUGGAACCGAUGGUUGAGUGGCUCAAUGUGUGUGUGUGUGUGUGUGUGUGUGUGUGUGUGUGUGUGUAUACACACAUGUGUGCAAUGGACGCAGAUUUAUGUGUAUCGUAAUGGGUGUGUGUGCAUGUGUAUGUGUGUAUCGUGAUGUGCUUGUGUAUUGUAUAUGUGUUUGAGUUGUGAUAUGUGUGAAUUGUGAUGUGCAUGUCUGUGUGUGUGUGCAUGUGUGUUUGUAUUGUGAUGUGUGUAUUGUAAUGACUGUUUAGCCUGGCCUUGUUCUUGAGUGAGGCUCUGAUACCAGUCUGACAAUUUCUGUCCUUUCUGUUCUUCCUCACAUUAUUGUAGUCCACUCCCUGCCAUCUGGUUACUGACUCUCCCCUCCUUGUAGAUAGUCCUUGGAUGACAACUAAUGAUGACUAAAGCCUAGUCACUUUUUUUUUUUUUUUUUUUUGGUUUUUCGAGACAGGGUUUCUCUGUGUAGCCCUGGCUUUCCUGAAACUCACUUUGUAGACCAGGCUGGCCUCGAACUCAGAAAUCCGCCUAUCUCUGCCUCUCGAGUGUUGGGAUUAAAGGCGUGCGCCACCACGCCCGGCUGCCUAGUCACUUUUUAAGCAAAGGUUAGGGUUUCUAUUGUUGUGAUAAACCGACAUUCCCACAAGUGGAAAGUGCUUAUAGCCUUCGCAGCACACUUGAUCACUGGAGGGAACUCAACGCAGAAGCUUGGAGCCAUGAACUGAAACAGAAGCCGUGGAGGAGCACUGCUCAGCCUACUUUGUUAUACACUCAGGACCACCUGCUCAUGGCUGGCACCGCCUACCAUGGGCUGGGACCUCUCACCUCAUUCAUUAAGCAGGACCCAGACUUGCCGACAGACCAAUCAUACGAAGGCAUUUUCUCAAUUAAGAGUCCAUUUCCCCUGUGCCAAAUUGACAAAACCACAGAAGAAUGGGAACAAUUCUAUGGUAAAGUAUAUUUAACAUGAACUCGAUCUUUCGGUCAUUAAAGAGUCUAUGUGAAGGGC
rnacentral:lncRNA from 1 species